GAUGAACGCUGGCGGCAGGCCUAACACAUGCAAGUCGAGCGGGUGAAGGGAGCUUGCUCCCUGAUUCAGCGGCGGACGGGUGAGUAAUGCCUAGGAAUCUGCCUGGUAGUGGGGGACAACGUCUCGAAAGGGACGCUAAUACCGCAUACGUCCUACGGGAGAAAGUGGGGGAUCUUCGGACCUCACGCUAUCAGAUGAGCCUAGGUCGGAUUAGCUAGUUGGUGAGGUAAAGGCUCACCAAGGCGACGAUCCGUAACUGGUCUGAGAGGAUGCUCAGUCACACUGGAACUGAGACACGGUCCAGACUCCUACGGGAGGCAGCAGUGGGGAAUAUUGGACAAUGGGCGAAAGCCUGAUCCAGCCAUGCCGCGUGUGUGAAGAAGGUCUUCGGAUUGUAAAGCACUUUAAGUUGGGAGGAAGGGUUGCUGAUUAAUACUCUGCAAUUUUGACGUUACCGACAGAAUAAGCACCGGCUAACUCUGUGCCAGCAGCCGCAGUAACAC
rnacentral:rRNA from 1 species